CCUUAGCCCUGAUGGGAGGGAAAAUCCUUUUGGGGCGGGGUUCGCCCCCAAAAGAUUUGGAAGGACAGCAGGAUCAAGC
rnacentral:sRNA from 1 species